rnacentral:tRNA from 3 species
GGAGCGGUAGUUCAGCUGGUUAGAACGCCACACUGUCACUGUGGAGGUCGCGGGUUCGAGUCCCGUCCGUUCCGCCA